ACGUAGGGUGCGAGCGUUAAUCGGAAUUACUGGGCGUAAAGCGUGCGCAGGCAGUUCGCUAAGACAGGUGAGAAAUCCCCGGGCUUAACCUGGGAAUGGCGCUUGUGACUGGCGGGCUGGAGUACGGCAGAGGGGGGUGGAAUUCCACGCGUAGCAGUGAAAUGCGUAGAGAUGUGGAGGAACACCGAUGGCGAAGGCAGCCCCCUGGGAUGACACUGACGCUCAUGUACGAAAGCGUGGGUAGCAAACAG
rnacentral:rRNA from 1 species